CAAAAUUGAGGAAACCAAACUCCCUUCGUUUUAAUUUUUAAUCCUAUCAUGCGCUUCUCCCCCUCUUGCAUCUCCAUUUGUUGGAAAUCAAUAUGUCGUGUCGGAGGCAGCAGAGCCACCCAGAAACGGAAACAACCACCACCACUUGAUUUAUUUUUACCUCCUCUAAUCACCUCUCAUACCUAUUUCGUCUAAAACUCACUCAAAAUCUCCCAUCCCUCAUAAAAACUCCAAGAACCCUAAAUCUUUAAUCUAAAAUUAAAUGGCCAUAAUUCAAUAACAUAAACCAUUACCCUAGGGCUUCCAUUCCUUCUUCGGAAUCCUAACACAUGGUAACUUGUUUGAAGAAAAACGACGAAGAAACAAUGGAAACGAGCCUACCUACAGAGCGGAGGUAUACUCUAGAAGUGUUGGAGCGCUUGAAGAAGACAAUGCAUUGAAAAUACCAGAUGAUGUUUAGCCAGGGUUAAUGUAUAUUUUAUAGGGUGCACAAAACUUGGUUUGGCAUGGCAUCAUGAAGGUUAGGCAUGACAUCAAGAGCAUGAAGAGAUUUUGAAGACCUUGGAGGCAUAAAAAUGGAAGAUCUUGAGGAUGAAGAGAAAUGAAAGAAUAGGUGGUCAGUUUGACUUUGGUAAACUAUUUAACCUAAAGUCAACAGUUGACCAAAAGUCAACCUUAGGUUAAAAAUGUCUUUUCUUAUGUAAUUUCUAAUUUUGACUUUUGUAAUGCAAUUUUAUGACUUUGUAAUUGAAACAUAGGUCUUUGAAUA